UACGUAGGGUGCGAGCGUUGUCCGGAAUUAUUGGGCGUAAAGAGCUCGUAGGCGGUUUGUCGCGUCGACUGUGAAGACCUACAGCUUAACUGUGGGCUUGCAGUCGAUACGGGCAGACUUGAGUUCGGUAGGGGAGACUGGAAUUCCUGGUGUAGCGGUGAAAUGCGCAGAUAUCAGGAGGAACACCGGUGGCGAAGGCGGCGAUCUGGGUCGAUACUGACGCUGAGGUGCGAAAGCGUGGGGAGCAAACAGG
rnacentral:rRNA from 1 species